AGUAGCCAGUGUCAUUCUAAAUUAAAAUUUGUCAACCGGCCCUCUCUAUCUCUGACUCUGGUCGGGUCGACUCUGCUGAAUUGAAUUGCUCAACCAAAAUACCCGAAUCGCAUCAUCCUUCCUUCCUUACUUGUUGUGGCGUGAGAGAGAGAGAGAGAGAGAGAGAGAGAGAGAGAGAGAGAGAGAGAGAGAGAGAGAAGCGAAUGGGCAGGGGCGGUGGUAUCCUUGAGAAGCUGAGGAGUUUGGACGCCUACCCUAAAAUCAAUGACGAUUUCUUCAGCCGUACACUCUCCGGUGGCAUCAUUACCCUCGCCUCUUCCCUCCUCAUGCUCUUCCUUUUCUUCUCCGAGCUCAGACUAUACCUCCACACUGUUACAGAGUCAAAGCUUCUUGUGGAUGCUUCAAGAGGAGAAACCCUACAUAUCAAUGUAAUCUCCCUUUCUUCCUCCCCACUCCCUUCUCGGGUGAUAAAUGUCAAAAAGUUUGAUGUAACUUUUCCUGCUAUCCGAUGCUCAUUACUCAGUCUUGACACAAUGGAUAUUAGCGGAGAGCAGCAUUUUGACAUACGACACCAUAUAGUCAAGAAACGAAUUGAUGCGCAUGGUAGUGUAAUAGAAGCUAAGAAGGAUGGAAUUGGUGCACCAAAGAUUGAGAAACCCUUGCAAAGGCAUGGUGGAAGGCUUGAACAUAAUGAAAAAUAUUGUGGAUCGUGCUUUGGAGCAGAAACGUCUGAUGAUGAUUGUUGCAACUCAUGCGAUGAAGUUCGUGAGGCAUAUAGGAAAAAAGGUUGGGCACUGACGAAUGCAGAGUUGAUAGACCAGUGCGAACGGGAAGGUUUUAUUCAAAAGGUCAAAGAUGAAGAUGGUGAAGGAUGUAAUAUUGAAGGAUCCCUUGAAGUUAACAAAGUGGCUGGAAAUUUUCAUUUUAUACCUGGAAAAAGUUUUCACCAGUCUAAUGUUCAUUUGCAUGAUUUGCUGGCUUUCCAGACAGAUAGUUACAAUAUAAGUCACAAGAUAAACAGAUUAGCUUUCGGUGACUACUUUCCUGGCGUGCAAAAUCCCCUUGAUGGUGUACAAUGGAUGCAGGAAAGACCAAGUGGUAUGUACCAGUAUUUCAUCAAGGUGGUCCCUACGAUAUACACCAAUAUUAGAGGCCGUACAAUUUUCUCAAAUCAGUACUCUGUGACAGAGCAUUAUAAGAGUUUGGAGCUGGGAUACUCUCACAUGCUUCCAGGAGUUUUCUUCUUUUAUGAUCUUUCUCCAAUUAAGGUCACAUUCAAAGAAGAACAUGUUCCGUUUUUACACUUCAUGACUCAUAUUUGUGCCAUAAUUGGAGGUAAUCUAGUCCAUUCUGGCAUGCAUUGAUGUAGGUCGAAGAAAUUAACACAGUAUUUGACAAAGUCCUCAAAACCAUUAUGCACGUAGCAUAACCAUUUGGUUCAAAGUUCAGAAUAUAUGCAUGUAUAUUUACCAUUGCAGGACUUAUAGAUUCAUUUAUAUAUCAUGGUCAAAGAGCAAUUAAGAAAAAGAUCGAAGCUGGAAAAUUUGGGUGAAAUCGAGCAUUUGGAUAUUUGCUGCUCCAAUUCUGGGACAGAUGGUUGACAAGUAGAUGGUCAUUGAAUCAGUUUCUCUCCACACUCUCUCAAGUGUUGUCGUGAUCACAAAUUAUUGGCAAAUCUGUGAAAAUUAGUAAGGUGUAAUGGUAGGUUCAUUUUGUUCAGUUUAGCUUUUUGCAAGUUAACUUACUAGUUAUACAAGUUGAUUUCAUGAAUGUGGAACCGUCAAAUUUGUCCAGCCAUAAAAUUUUGGCUUAUUUAUUGAUUUUCCUGUUAAAUGUCCA